AUGAGCUUCUACACCCGCUCUGCCUUCUCCACCAACUACCGGUCCCUGGGCUCCCUCCACGCGCCCAGCUGCGGUGUCUGGCCUGCCAGCAGGGCGGCCAGAGUCUAUGCAGGAGCCCGGGGCUCUGGUUCCCGCAUAUCCGUGUUCCGCUCCACCAGCUUCCCAGGCGGCAUGAGGUCUGGGGGCCUGGCUGCUGGGGUGGCCGGAGGUCUGGCAGGAAUGGGAUGCAUCCAGAAUGAGAAGGAGACCGUGCAAGGCCUGAAGGACCGUCUGGCCCCUUACCUGGACAGAGUGAGGAGCCUGGAGUCCGAGAACCGGAAGCUGGAGAGCAAAAGCCGGGAGCACCUGGAACGGACCCCAGGUCAGACAUGGGAGCCAUUACUUCAAGACCAUCGAGGACCUGAGGGCGCAGAUCUUCGCAAAUAUUGUGGACCCAAUGCCCGCAUCGUUCUGCAGAUCGACAAUGCUAAUGCACGUCUUGCUGUGGAUGACUUUAGAGUCAAUUAUGAGACAAAGCGGGCCAUGCUCCAGUCUGUGAAGAGCGACAUCCAUGGGCUCUGCAAGGUCAUCGAUGAUACCAAUGUCACUUGGCUGCAGCUGGAGACAGAGAUCGAGGCUCUCAAGGAAGAGCUACUUUUCAUGAAGAAGAACCAUGAAGAAGAAUUAAAAGGCCUACAAGCCCUGAUUGCCAGCUCUGGGUUGACCUUGGAGGUCAACCCAAAUCUCAGGACCUUGCCAAGAUCAUGGCAGACAACCGGGCUCAAUAUGAUAAGCUGGCUCGGAAGAACCGAGAGGAGCUGGACAAGUACUGGUCUCAGCAGAUUGAGGAGAGCACCACAGUGGUCACCUUGCAGUCCGCUGAGGUUGGAGUUUCUGAGAUGACGCUCACAGAGCUGAGACGUACAGUCCAGUCCUCGGAGAUUGACCUGGACUCAACGAGAAAUCUGAAGACCAGCUUGGGGAACAGCCUGAGGGAGGCGGAGGCCCACUAUGCCCUGCAGAUGGAGCAGCUCAAUGGGAUCCUGCUACACCUGGAGUCAGAGCUGGCAUAGGCCCCAGGCAGAGGGACAGCACCAGGCCCAGGAGUACCAGGACCUGCUGAACAUCAAGGUCAAACUGGAGGCUGAGAUCACCACCUAUCAUCACCUGCUGGAAGAUAGUGAGGACUUCAAUCUUGGUGAUGCCCUGGACAGCAGCAGCUCCAUGCAAACCAUCCAAAAGACCACCACCCGCUGGACAGGGGAUGGCAAAGUGGUGUCUGAGACCAAUGACACCAAAGUUCUGAGACAUUGAGCCAGCAGAA